AGAAUAAACAGACCACUAGAGAUGACCAAUUUGCACACUCCAACACUCAUCCCAGUCAGGCUGCCAUUUAUGAAAAUCCAAACCAGCCGGUAUAUGGUAACACAAUGAAUGAGGCUGUGUAUAUGAAUGUUUCAGAGGAGACAUCCCAGAGUCCAGGUCAAGAACUGGAUCUCAGCUGGAAAAAGGCUGGUGGCAGUAACAGCAGGAAACCCACAUCUCUCCAGGGAGAUCCAGAAGCCCAAAUUUCAUCCUCCCAAGGGAAUCAGCAAAUCUACGAAACUAUGUCAGGUGCAGCCAUCUAUGAAACCUUAUAAAAACAUCAGUGGAAGGUUCAACUAUUCCAAAAUGUUCAAAAACUUCUAAAGGAACUUUAUUAUCAAAGUACAUAUAUGUAUAUAUGUAACUGUAU